CUAGACUUGCCUGUGGCCACACAGCUAAUUAAUAACAUAGUUGGGAACAGACUUCAUCUCCUAACUUCCAACUUCGCACCCUACUGGGUUCCUGGGCUAGACUCCGACAGCGCCACGAAAAAAACAGGAGAAAAUGCCGCUAUCGCCCCUGGUACCUGCCCCUUUCCGGCCCCCGGACACUUUUCAUUCAAACGUGUAAAUGCACAGAAGAGAGAAGUUAAUGAUCACUAACCUUUUACCAUCUUGGGAGGAGCGACUUCUGGUGCCAAGUAUCAGGAAACUUCUGAGGGAAUGAUUCCAGGUGCCCUUAGCUCAGAUUCUGAUUUUGGGGAAUACAAACUGAGAUAGAGGCAUAUUUUGCUACCUGAAAUGGCCUGGGCUGCAGCUUGCUUUUGAGGAGAACAAGCACCUGGAGCUACAGUGUCUGAAGUAGCAGCUGCUGCUGCCACCUAGACAUCGUCACUGAGCUGUGUGAAGUGAU